rnacentral:rRNA from 1 species
UACGAGGGGGGCAAAUGUUGUUCGGAAUCACUGGGCGUAAAGGGAGCGUAGGCGGGUUCUAAGUCAGGUGUUUAAUCCCGGGGCCCAACCCCGGACAGGCACUUGAAACUGGGAAUCUUGAAUAGUGGAGAGGUCAGUGGAAUUGGGGUGUAGCGGUGGAAUGCGUAGAGAUCCCCAAGAACACCAGUUGCGAAGGCGGCUGACUGGACACAUAUUGACGCUGAGGCUCGAAAGCAUGGGGAGCAAACAGG